ACGGGAGGCAGCAGUGGGGGAUAUUGCACAAUGGGGGAAACCCUGAUGUAGCGACGCCGCGUGAGUGAUGAAGUAUUUCGGUAUGUAAAGCUCUAUCAGCAGGGAAGAUAAUGACGGUACCUGACUAAGAAGCACCGGCUAAAUACGUGCCAGCAGCCGCGGUAAUACGUAUGGUGCAAGCGUUAUCCGGAUUUACUGGGUGUAAAGGGAGCGUAGACGGCAAGGCAAGCCUGAUGUGAAAGCCUGGGGCUCAACCCCGGAACUGCUUUGGAAACUGUUAAGCUAGAGUGCAGGAGAGGUAAGUGGAAUUCCUGGUGUAGCGGUGAAAUGCGUAGAUAUUAGGAGGAACACCAGUGGCGAAGGCGGCUUACUGGACUGUAACUGACGUUGAGGCUCGAAAGCGUGGGGAGCAAACAGGAUUAGAUACCCUGGUA
rnacentral:rRNA from 1 species